CAGAGUCAGGCAGCCCAGUGUUGUGACUGAUCACUUCGAUGAAGCCCCCAUGGUUCUGCUUUUCCAGGCUAUGUCAGGUGCUGUUGCCUGACUUAAAAAAUUCUGUCGCAGGCCUCCCAAAGCCUGGAGCAGAGCUUCCUCUGACGUACAGCAUGUUUCCCUCAGUCUCUCACACAUUUCUUUUAGGCUUUGCUCUCCAUUUGGUGUCAACUCCCUUGGCCUUCCUGUCUCAGUCCUAAUGUGGGUGUAUAAGGAGAAAGGGCCUGCUCACGCUGCUUCCUGUGUCCGCUCACAACUAGCUUUUCCUGGACACCUGGCAUCCACCAGAAGUCAUUCUGAUCCUCUGGCUGCCUUGGAUCUCAUCCUGCAAAGACCUUUGCUCCUGUAGCUUCUCAGCAGCCUGCACGGGUGAGCCAUGCAUCCUGCAGGUGGGAGCAGGUGGGGCAGCCUCCUCUUCACAGGCUGCCAGGACAGAGUUCCUUGGUGUUCAGGGAUCGCCUGAGAUGGGCUUUGCUGAUGACAGACAGGAGUGUGUCAGAAAAGUACUGGUUUUGAGGUUUCUUGCAUACAGGGUUUGGUCAGAAGCCGUGCCUCCAGCCUGUGGAGAGGCAGAUGAAGCAGAUUGUUUCGCCUGAGGCUGGGUCUGACUAUUUAGCCAAGCUGGCCUUGAACUGGCGAUCCUCCUUCCUCCACCUCAGGGCUCAGAUUAUGGGUUUGAGCCACCAUGCCCACUGGGGCCUGGGAGCUCCUACUUGCAGAAUGGAACAGCCACCUAAGGUUGCUGGGAGGAGCAGUGAACAGCCAUCUUGACAUGCACCUCCAAAUUUCUUGGCUCUGAGUUUUCAAGUACCUCUUACAGGCAACUCAAAACAAACCCUCCCGAGUGUCAAUGUAAAUGACAACUGACUGAAGUCACAGCAGGCAAUAGCCGUGUGCACCUACCUCAGCUGGCCUAAUUGUGUGAACAGUGCUCUGGCUAACACCAGGGUGUGUUGUCAAGUGCAUCGUGAAAUGCUGCUAGAGACACAGCU